UGAAGCCAAGCAGCCUGGCUCCAGAGCCCAAGCUCUUGACCUCAGUGCUAUGUAGCCUCUGUGUACCAGACCCACCAUUGCUGGAACAGUCUGCCUCUCCUACCUUGGCCCUCAGGAGCAGGGGACGUACUUUAUCGAUCUUCAGGUCCUCAGAGACCAGUACAGUUCCUGACAUGAGGAAGGAGCUAAUAUGGUGACAUAAAAGACUGGAGUCCAUUCAGUGACUACCUGAAACUGGAGCCAAUGUAAAAGAAAACAGAGUCUGGACCUGGAGAAACAGACAAAGACCAGAUCCUGGAAAGAUCAUUUGAACCCCUGGAUUCAGCUACACCUGUCUUUGAAGUCAAGUGGUUCUGAAUUUUAAGUUACAUUACUCAUUAAAUGACCAGGGUGCAGAAGACCACUUCACAGACAUGGUUUGCAGGUAGUACAUGAAGCUGGGCAGAUAUUCAUCUAAAAGAAAUCAAUCACAAGAUACUAAGCCAUUAAUAGAUCCAUCCAUAUGGAGCAGACACAACAGAGACAGCACGGGCUGCUGGGCGGUACUGACGCAUGGAGCGGACAAGAAUUUGCUUCUCAUCAACCUCAACUGUGGAUUCCUCUGAUGGGCUAUUCUUGGAGAUGCCUUAACAGUGACUUUAACUGUCUCUCUAAGAUACGAAAUGACCAAACCUCCCUCCCAUCCGUAAACAGAUUAGCCCUAAUCUUCAAACAGCCACGCUAAGCAUUCGGGUUCACCAGGUAGCUCAGGGGAAGCCAGCCCCUGAUAAGCAAGCUAAGCAAAUUCCCAGGGUUUCAGCUCUCCAGUCAAGAUCCUAAAAGCCAAUGGACUCUGCUAUAUUCUUCUCCACCCAUGGAGCACUGUGGCUCGGGUCACCGCACAGGCCACUGAACCAAUGCCCAGUUGGCCCGUGAGCCACGCCUUGAUCACUUCACUGUGGGAGGUCAGUUUCCUUUUUCCCUAAGAAUCCAACAUUGAAUUUCCCAGUCCGUCUUUUCUCAUUACAUAAGCCAGCUGUUUCCUGCAACCGCCUGCUGGGAUGAGAGCACUGGGCCGGGAGAUCUGGCCCCCGGACUGGUCUCCAGCACUCUCCAGCCACAGACUGGCCUCUUGGAGAUCCACUUCUUCAUCUGCAAAAUGGGAGUGCCCUCCCUGGCCUUCCUACGGGGCUGUGGCGACGACCCAGUGACAUGAUUGCCACGCUGCUCCCCUCCGUGAGCAUAGGGUGGUGGUGGUAUGUUACAGGGCACAGCUCGUGGCUGCAGCCUGGGGGUGCCCGGGUGGGGGUGCCUGGGUGGGGGUGAGAGAGGCCGAGCUGGUGCUCACACCAAGUGCUGACCCAGUGAUACGUCCAUUGUCCUUGGCCCUUGGCCCACCCACAACUUUCUCAGCAAUCUCGCCGCUGCCGCACCUUAAAACCACCCAGCAAGAAGAGGGGAAACUAUUUCUCUCCGUGAAGCCCUCAGGUCCUCCCUCCGAAACCAGAGCUUUGGGGAGAGCAGGCAAGUGAGCGGUGACUCAGUGUUUAGUCUAUGGCGUUCCGGGUGCACACGGCCUCCGGCGGCUGCAGCCGAACCCCCGCGGCUCGGAGGAAUCUGUGUGGGCACCAAGUGCACUCGCGGGGCAGACGAGCCCAGGGCAGCAGAGGCUGAGGAGACGCACUGGUCCAGAAAGAGGGAGGACAGAAAGGUUUCAAAGGCAGCCCUGAGUGGGCAAGCUGGGGUCAGGCAGGGAUGGGCUGGGGUCACCCGGAUGGCCAUCCAGGCGGAGGCUUCUGGAGCCAAUGAGGCGGUUUGGUGGUCAGAGAGCUGCUUUCCCCAACGGCUCCCUGGCUGCGAGUGUAAACAGCGAGCAGGCUCGUCAGGGCCUUGUGCGUGACUGAAGCAGAGGAAGCGGGGCUGGCCCACCUCACGCUUCUGGUCAGACCCCCCACCUCGAGCCCUGGGAGCAGCCAGGGAUGAUGCCCCCACAUCUCAGCCGCUCAGACGUGGAAAAUAUAACAUGGGAAACAUCUGCUCCUCUUCAUGGGAGUAAAGUGGCCUCUGUGUGCGCUGCUGUUUCCUCCUUGGGCCUCCUCUCUCCCUUCUCUCUUUCUUCCUGACUUUUGUAAACAUAAAAUGCGGUGCCACGGCCUGGCCUGCAAACCAAAUCCCAAAGAUAUCUGGGUGGGUUGGACCUGAGGGUCAUUUGCUACCACGAAGCCCGGCCUGCCAGGGGGAGACAUGUCUGUGAAGAGGGGGAGGGAAGGCCCAGGAGACAGGGAGCACGUCGGAGGUGUGAAAGGAAUCCCUGGAAUGGGGGACAAGCUAGACUCGCACCUUGGAGAUGUCACCACCUUCUCAGCCCAUGUGCUUAGUGAGAGCUGAGGAAGCUUUGCUUUGUCCCGUCCUUACACGGAAACCCCCUCGGCCCCAGGCCAUGCCUUCCACCUGCACCUUAUUUCAUCCAAAGCUUACUGCCAGGACUCAGCAAGUCAUAAAUAACAGUAAAAUACAGAAUAUCCACUGGAUGUUAAAUAGUUCAAUAAAUCAGGCUAACUAGA